rnacentral:rRNA from 1 species
AUGUGGUCACAAUCGACACAACCUACAAGACUGUGCGACAUGCUGUUUGGGCUUUUCGUAGGGGUUAAGAACCAUUUUGAAAGCAUCAUCCUGGCUGGCGUAGUAAUGCGAGAUGAGCAGGUGGAGAGCUUCGAGUGGGUUUUUUCUGAAUUUAUACGUAAGAUGGGUGGACCGACACCUAAGACAAUCCUGACAGACCAGAACAGAGCUAUGGACGUGGCGAUCAACAAGGUUUACCCAGACAGUGUACACUGUUGGUGCAAGUGGCACAUUCUGAAGAACGCUAAGGAGAGCCUAGGCCCGCUGAAAAUGAGUUACGCCUCGGCAGUGCACCACCAGACCGGACACCAUGUCCCUCAUGGAUGA